GCCAAUGGAAUUUACAACCCAUGCUACAAAAUUUAAUGUUCCAACAAUAAGCUUGUACAAAAUGAAUUGAAUUUGAGUUCCCAAAGUGUGCCUACAUUUUAGUGUCCAGCAAUACGUUUCAGGGUCCAGUCCUCUGUGUUGAUCUUUUAAUCUUCUGGCAUUUUCCCCUUUACAAAACUUAGUUUAUAUUCAUAAUCAACAUUGCAUGAAUCACUGUUUAUAUUUGCAUU